AACGAACGCUGGCGGCGCGCCUAAUACAUGCAAGUCGAGCGAGAGACGUAGCAAUACGUUUGUAAAGCGGCGAACGGGUGAGGAACACAUGGGUAACCUACCCUAGAGUGGGGAAUAACUAGCCGAAAGGUUAGCUAAUACCGCGUACGCUCCUUGGACUUCGGUACAGGGAGGAAAGCGAUACCGUGGGUAUCGCGCUCUUGGAUGGGCUCAUGUCCUAUCAGCUUGUUGGUGAGGAACGGCUCACCAAGGCUUCGACGGGUAGCUGGUCUGAGAGGACGAUCAGCCACAC
rnacentral:rRNA from 1 species